rnacentral:lncRNA from 1 species
GUGGUUUAAGCAUAGAUUAUAUAUAUCACUUUUGCAUUAUAUCAAUUAUAGGAUACUACAUGUAUUAUUAUUUUCAUUUUUCUAUCUUUUGUGAUUAUUCAUAUAUGUUUUAGCUUUCAGAAUUGCAUUCUGAAUUGACUUUAAAGGAAUAUAAAGCAUUUGGGGAUUGUCUACCCUUCAUUGUACUGAUUGCAUUAUCAAUUGCAUUUUCUUAUUAUUAAAAUUUGGCCC